CCUACGGGAGGCAGCAGUGGGGAAUAUUGGACAAUGGGGGCAACCCUGAUCCAGCCAUGCCGCGUGUGUGAAGAAGGCCCUCGGGUUGUAAAGCACUUUCAGUGAGGAAGAACGCCUGGUGGUUAAUACCCAUCAGGAAAGACAUCACUCACAGAAGAAGCACCGGCUAACUCCGUGCCAGCAGCCGCGGUAAUACGGAGGGUGCGAGCGUUAAUCGGAAUUACUGGGCGUAAAGCGCGCGUAGGUGGCUUGAUAAGCCGGUUGUGAAAGCCCCGGGCUCAACCUGGGAACGGCAUCCGGAACUGUCAAGCUUGAGUGCAGGAGAGGAAGGUAGAAUUCCCGGUGUAGCGGUGAAAUGCGUAGAGAUCGGGAGGAAUACCAGUGGCGAAGGCGGCCUUCUGGACUGACACUGACACUGAGGUGCGAAAGCGUGGGUAGCAAACAGGAUUAGAUACCCCAGUAGUC
rnacentral:rRNA from 1 species